AACGCGUGGGAAUCUACCCAGUAGUGGGGGACAACAGUUGGAAACGACUGCUAAUACCGCAUACGCCCUAAGGGGGAAAGCAGGGGACUCUUCGGAGCCUUGUGCUAUUGGAUGAGCCCGCGUGAGAUUAGAUAGUUGGUGAGGUAAUGGCUCACCAAGUCUACGAUCUCUAGCUGGUCUGAGAGGAUGAUCAGCCACACUGGAACUGAGACACGGUCCAG
rnacentral:rRNA from 1 species